GGAUCUCUUAGGGCCAUAUUCACCCCGCAAAUACCCGGCCUGGUUAGUGUGGCAGGGAAUGUAUUAUCCGUACUGGGGGAUGAGUUUCAGUCCCCUGAGAGUCCUUGAGGGUCCCCAACACCCCUGGGCAGCCCCUCCAUGGGUGGUUAAAGAGCAGAGCGCCCCCAGCCACCUGGGCAGCAGGAAGUGCUGCUCCCGGCCCUGCAAGGAUUCCGAGUAGCCUGUGGAGUAGGCGCCCGCACUGGGAGCACAGCCCAAGGGGACCUGCUGGGGCUCGGGGCUGGGCGGCCUCCAGCAGAUUGGACGCCAGGAAGAUCGCCUCUGUAGACUGCAAGGCGCCUAGGCUCCAGACCCGGCUCUCCAGGAGACCCCAACGCCCUUUUAACUGCAGCCUGGCUCAGGUGGUGAAACACAGGCCCAGAGCAUGAGGCACACAGCUAGAAAUCGAAGACCCUUCGCUGCUAAGGUUACCCGUUCUGGUUCGUCUCCCCCACACUCUCUGCUAAAGAAAAACUAAGAAAGAGAGAGAGGCAGCCUUAUCCAUUCUUUGGUUUGUAACAGCCUGCAAAAUACAAAAUCUAUUUAAGGUAAAUCUGGUGUUGCCCAUCGUCUGAUGAGUAACAUAAAUCAAGCUUAUGGAAAAAGAAUAUUAAAUUUUCCGUGUUUUCUCGCGGGGCUGGGACCUGAGGAGUCAAGGGAGAAUUAAACAUCUUCCUCCCCCACUCCCUUUCUCUUCCGAAGUCCGUAAAUGACAACGUGUUUACACAAGUUUUUAUGUCGUCUGAGCUGCGUCCCGGCUCCGUUUCCUCCUCUGUGUAUUUUCCGCGCAGAGAGAUGUCUGCUUCGGGACGCGUUCAACCUAAACAGAACCCUGUCUGAUUGGAAAAUGUAUUUAUUUGAAAAAUCGUAACUCACAGUUUUGGUGAAAACGGCCCCCAAAUUUAUGGGAUCGCUUGGGGCGCGGCGGUCGUAAAUCAGAACGCACUGGACGCCCCCCUCCCCCGCCGCGUCCCCGCAGCAGCUCCAGUCAGGUUCUCCCGAGAGAGCGCGGGAGACAAGCCCACCCCACCCACCCCCUCCCCCCUGUCCAGCCUGCGGCCCUCUGGCCCUUCGUGCUCCAGUCCCUCCGCAGGGGUUAGUUGCUGGCUAGCGGGCAGGUGGAUUUCAUUCUGAUUCCUUUCACCCCAGCCCCGUUGCUUUCGGGACAAUUUUAUUCUGGUCAGCCUCACAACGAUCAGCUUCACGUGGUCAGUUAAUGGUGUUCUGUUGCGCACCAGUCUAUUUUAGGCAUAUCUGGUUUGUUCAUUCAUUGCACGCUGGUUAGCUUCGUGGUGCUAGACGGCUCCGCGAGUCGCCUGUGGCCGGUUCCUAACCUUUGGUCAAUUGUGUGCCGAGCUGUUUGAUGCGAAGAGGUUUAUCUCCGGUCAGUGUCAGGAAGGGCAGUCUCACCACCUGACCAUUGCUUCCCGGACAGGUCAGGGAGAUUUUUUCCUUUCACGGUCCAAUUUGAAUGCCGCGGGAGGACGGCAUCAAUCCGCUCCGCCUAUCUCCUGGUUCCUGCUGCCCCCAGACGCCAGCUGAGGACUGGGGAGAGGCUGGAGCUGGGGACGUGUCCCCAAGGACAGACGCCGCGGGCCCCACAGGCUGGGCAGUCCUGUAGUCCAGGCAGAGCUGGACGCAUUGGGCCUUCACGAGCAAUCAGCGAGUCGGCUUUCUCCUGGAAAUACAGGACUGAGCCGCAUCUCUGCGCGUCCUUUAGAUCCUGCACUUCUCUGGCAGCGUCCACAGGGAAACAAGGCAAGCUCUCCACUCCGGGCUUGUCGGUCUAAGCUCUAUCUCAAGAAGAGGGGUUUGGAGACUCAGUCAAAACUUUUGCGCCCCUUUAUCCAGAGAGGGCAAAGGAGCGUGCGGGAGCCACGCGGUUCUGCGCAAGAACGGCGGCAAGGGAGUGCGGGAAUUCGAGGUUGUGCCGCAACUCACGCGAUGCGCCCGCCCGCGGCCGCCUGCCUGGAGAACCGGUCCGCUCGCCAGGUCCCUCAGCUGCUACCUGCCAGGGGUGAUCUAUACGCAGUAGCAUUUGGUUCAAGGAAAUACAGUAUAUUUCGGUAGAGAAAACCCGGUCGGAUCAACCCAGUCCGUUCUGGGAGAUUAAGAACUGAUGUGACGUAGAAUGGGUCAGAAGUGGCGAGGGGACAGAGGGCUCCUAUUCCACUAUCCUCCCUUAAAGCUUAGGGUGAGGGUAGAGGAAGCAUAGCCCCUCCGUUCUUGGGCCUCAGUUCUCCCAGUCUAGAAUGACCUUGGUCUCGAGGGCCGUGGGACCCGCACGUUCUCGCGCGCGCUGCUGGCAGGACCGGAGCAAGACACUGAAUGUAAAUUUGUUGGAGGCCGAGGUAUUAAUCUUGAGAAAUCUGUGUCUGUCUGGCGGAGAGGUCCGCGGGAGGCUAAGCGUUUUGAUGCUGGGUUGGGGGGCUAGGUCAGCGGCUGGCUAGCUUACUGGUGAAUAUUCUGAGGUCCCCACUCUUUCCUUCUGCAUAUAGGCGUUCAGAAACUGAGUCUGCGAGCAAGGAUCUGUAUCACUAUUAGUCUGAUUAUUUUAAACAGGGCCAGGCUACAUCCAUCAUCUUUCUCAUAAUGGCCAAUUGUAAACACACUUUAAAAGAGAAAAACAAAAAAAGGGAUUUAGUGUUGACACUGGGAAAAUGCUUAGUGCUGGUGGUGUGGGGGAAUUGGCAAGCUCCCCGGUCCUUUGGGAGAGAAGUUAAGUGCUUAGUGUUUUUAGCUUUUUCCACUGAAUUUCUAAAUCUCUCAGGGGUCUUCGUCUCUUUAUAAAGUUGAAUGAAAGAAGUCCUUCCUUAAAAAGUCAGGAUGGGUAAAAAAGGCCUUGGUUUCAGGAAGGAGAAGCGCAUGGAACAGGAAGCCUGCAAACUUGGCAGACUGAGUCUUGGUCCUUUCAUUGUCAUGUCAAUUGUCUUACCAGCACCUUUCUCAGUUCCAGCCUCUUUCUGCCCAACCCUUUGCCUUGCUGCACAGAAUUUUGCUCUGGAGGGGGGAGAUGAGAAGAUCAGUGAAUGACGGAAAAAACAGAGAUCAGACAAGAAAGGCAAGAGACGUGAAUGGUGUCUGGAGAAAGGGCAAGUACACUGUGGUUUUGCCUCAUUAUCAGAUGUUAGGCCAGGUUCCCUUCCAGAAAGCGUGAGUUUGACUACCUCUUCCUGGUGCGAAGAUCACUCCCUAGCCACAUGGAGACCCCUGUCACCUCACCCACACACACCACAGGACGCAAGACUGUCCUCAUUAGCCUCCCCUAACCAUCCAGAGUGUGGAGCAAAGACCAAGAAAUAAGUCACAGAGGAACCCAGCCCCCUAAACCCAAACCAACUGCUGCCGGGUAUUAAAUUCAUUUUCAUCCAUGCAAGCAAGGCCCCCCAAAAGUCUCUAAAAGGGAACAACAAAGGUGGCAGGAGAAGAGAGAACAGAAAGGAAAGCCUAGAAACCAGAGCAGAAAUUAAUUUAAUUACCUCUUCUCCCCUGCCAUAAAUUCCGCAGAGGAAAUCAAAUCUUUCUGUGCAUGUGUAUAAAAAGCAAUCAGUCUAUUGAGCUCGCCAAAACCCAUUAUGUCUCAAACUGGGUAUCCUAAUUGAAUGAAUCUAAAUGUACCAGGCGAACAGGCAUCCACUGAGCCAGGUUUUUCCAAGGACGUUUGCCACGGAGCCAGAGAGGAUAAACAUCGGUCGGUCGGAACCACACACUAAUCAGCUUGCUUGCAGAAAAGGGGAAACUUUCUGAGCCUGGGCGCUGGCAGAUGCAUCCUAACAUUUUGCGUCAGAUUGUAAUGGAAUAUUUCUCAUAAACAGCCAAGUGUCUCUCCCAGCCACUCACCUGACAUGUUUCUUGUUGUUUAACUUCAGAUCUGACAGAUGAUGAUAACCUGGGAAAGAGAGAGGUUACAAAUGCUGAGGGCUGCGAGGCUGGGCAGUGUAAAGGGCGCCUGCUCGAGAACGGAGACAGGGCUGUGAUUUGUAGGGCCCGGAAAAGGUUGUUAUGCAACCCACGGCAAGCAGGCAAGCAGGGGAAAAAACUGUAAUUGCAUAAACCCAGAUGCAUUUGUCACCGGGACCAGACAUUUAAACAUGUGUAUGUUUCGUCUCCAUGUCUUGUCAUUUGAUCUGACAGCUUUCUGCUUGCUCUAUCUGAUAUUAGUUUAGGGUUGUCCUUGCCUGAGGCAGCCCAGCCGUCAUCCUGGAUCGAAAUUGAGUGGGGUGGUCCCCACCUUGUACCAAACAGAACAGUCAGAGUUGAUUUUUGAAGAUUCCAGCAAAAUUGCACAGGCAACCGAGAAACAGGAUAGUGGGGUGUUUCCAGGACAAAUGUGCAAUUCUCUCCUGAAACCAUGAGGCAGACCCCUCCCCUUCGGUCACAGCACACUAACAACAAUGACAGCUGUGUUAAGCUCUUACUAUAUACCAUGCACUUUACGCACAUCUCUCAUUUAAUCUUCACAGCGACACUAUUAACUGCAUUUUAUAGAUAUGAAAUUGAUGCCCAAGGUCACCCAGCUAGGACAUUGGAGAAGUAGGAUUCAAACCCAGGUCUCCAUAACUCCGAAGUCCUUACUUUUAACCACUACAAUGAUGUGUGUGUUUCGGGGUGGAGGUACUUAAAAUGCUAAAAAGAUUUUUAUUUCUCUAACAGUAAUAUACUCUCAUUAAAGAAGAAUAUGAACCUGCCACCCAAACACUGCAACUGUGUUUCACUCUCUCACCCUCAAGCACUAUACUAAGAGUCCUUCUUGAUACAUGGAGUCCACGUUCAUCAGUUUUAAUAGUAGCAUCAGGUGCUCAUCAGUUGCAUCUAAAUAGAUGUCUUGUCAUAAUGAGGUUAUAGACUCCAUGAGGAGAGGAGCCAAUUCUGCUCUAAUCACUGAUGUAUUCCCAGCACCCAGCACAGUACUUACACAUCGAAAUUACUCAACAAACAUUUGUUGAAUGAAUGAAUGAUAACUUAAUAGAGACAAUUCUAAGGAGAUGCCUCUGGCGGUAUGAUCAUAUAGAAGUUAAUCAUACAGGACAGCCCCGUCACAUGGUGGGUGCUGAAGAAGACGUGGUUGAAGGAGCAAUCUUUUAGGAGGAGAGCUGGCACAUGGAAUUUUUAAAAUAAAGUCUCACCCAAAUUCGUAAAAUGGAGCUAAAAUAGAUUCUCCACCUUAGUUAAGUCCCUCUCUGCCUCUGUGUUUUCUGAUCUCAGCUCUGUGCCCUCUCAUGACGUGAUCCCAGGCCCAGACCCUCAUCGGGGACCAUCCAGUCCCAAAGGUCGAUAUGUUCGUAUGCUCCUAAGUCAAGUGUCCACCGCCAGGGCUGGCAAUGUAGGGAGUCAGACCUCAGUGAAGUUCGUCAGAAUGAUUUGAGAUUUGUGUCCAGUCCUGGAUUCCAGAAGUCAUACUUUGCACCUACCCCCAUCUACACGUUUAGAAUGAAUUUCUAGGGGAAAAAAGUGAAUAUGAUUAAUAUUAAGUAAAAAAAAGCAGCUCACAAAGUUAAACAUGCAGGGCUAUUUUAUUUUUUCAAAAUAAGAAUGGCUUUAUUUUUAGGACAAAAUGAAUAGCAUGAACCCACAUCCAAAUGUGAGUGAGACAUUUCACUGGAUUUUAUAAAAGAAAAAGAUGUACUCAGGUGUCAUCUAAAAACUGGAACCGUCAAAUAGGCAUAUGAAAGAAGACACCCCAACACGAUCAUUGUUGGUGGAAUCGUUGGAAUUACGGAUGAUAUUUUUGCCUUUCCUCAAUUUCUUAAACUUAGUGUAAUGUUGUAUUUUACAGCUAUCAUCUUGUAAUUAAAAAAUAAAUUCAUACUCCAAACUAAAUGUACAACCUAAAUAUAAUUCCUGUGAGAGGAGACAGUCAAUAAGAAAAAAUGCCAAGGCAACUUUGGCUAUAAAAAUAGUGAGAACAAGAACAACAACGUCUAUUGGGCACUCAUAAUGUGGCAGGCAAUGUAUGAAGUAUUCUUUACAUGGAUUAGCCCAUUCAUCUCAAAAGCACUUCGUCAGAAAAGUGCGGUUAUUGUCCCCACUUUACAGGUAAAGAAACUGAGGCACAGAGAAUUUAAGUAACGUGUCCAAGUUUCCCAGCUGGUAAGGGGCAGGGUUGUGAUUUGAGGCUGUUGAUCCUCCAAACACAUUUAUGGAAGGAUGGAAAAAAGCGGGAGGGUGAGAGGAAGGAAAGAGGUGAAGAAAAAAGUUGUCCCAUCGGUAAGAAUAGUUGGACCAAUGAAAUGGAUGUGUGAGAUAUCUGUGUCUAACCGAGCACCGGAAUCAUCUAGGGGGCUAGUUUAAAAUGCAGAAUCUUAGCUUCACCUCAGACCUGCUGAAUCAGAAUCUGCAUUUUAAAAGCAUUCCAAGGGAUUUAUAUGCACAUUCAAGUUUGGGAAGCCUGGUAAUCAAGAUAGUUAAUAAAGAAUCCAUUUGAGAAAACAGAGAGAGAGAAUCCAUUGGCAUCUGCCUGAGCUGGUACCACCUCCUCAGAAAUAGGGGCAUCGCUGCAUGAAUGAGUGUUUUUCAAAGCGCAAGUGAAGCCUGUUUCACAGAUUGGGAAAACAUCUUAAUGAAUCACGAUCAGAAAUUUUUUUAAACAAAAGAAUAGAAUAGAAAAUAUCAAAGUGCAUCUCUUGGAGGAAGGGGAAGUGUUACUGCAUGAAACGCUUAUUUCGAGUGUGUGUGUACACCGAGUCCUGACGUACAAUGUCCAUCUUGUAUGUGCUCUCUGCCAAAAAAAGGUUUAGCAACUGGCCUUCACACUGUGGCCUGAGACAGCCAUGAAAUUCCAG
ensembl:lncRNA